CCUCUGCCCCUGGGACCCUGGGUUCUAAUAGAAAAGCUUUACGUUUAUCUUGCCUGGGGCUAGGUCUUCAUGCCUCUCCCUGGCCAUUUCCAAACCAAGGCCCUCCUUCUCCUUUUACUCAAAUGUAAAACUCCAUCUCUGGGACCCUGGCCUCUGAUAGAUGAGGAGACUGAAACUAAGUAAAAUGACAUGCUCAAGGUACCCUGAUUAAGAACUUCUGGAGUCCAUGGCUUUAAACUUUAAAAUCUCUAAACUCUAGGUAGGUUUAAAUGCAUAUCAUUAUUGCCUUUUAUGUUCACAACAUAGUCAUUUCUGGAUAUCCCUCCCCAACAACCAUCCCGAAAUUGUACCCUCUCUUGUAUGAUUUACUUAACAAGUGUUUGUUAAGAACUUGCCAAGUAGUGUGCUAGAUACUAGGAAUACAAGUACAAUGACUGCUAUAAUCCUUACUAUUGCUCCUGCUUUUUUGGGGGGUCAUCUUAGCCAACAGGCUGAGUGUCAAGUGAAACCUCAAAAUUUGUAAAUGUGCAUUUAUAUUGUUAGUGUCUUCAUAUAUUCAUUGAUAGUUUCUGAUAUACCUUUUGAAAAGUGUUUGCUCUUAUAACUAAGUCCUGAUAAGAAUAAAUGAAUCCUGUAAAGUGGUCACAUUAUUUAAAUGUACAUUGUACAUUCCACUGGAUUAUACUCAGUUAGCACUCUUUGGCCACUUACCUAUUAAAGAAUGUUUCUGCGUGAUAUUUGUUUGUCUUAUAUAUUUCUGCUCCACCAACCUUGUCAUUCUGAAUGAUCCUUUUCUCCCUACAAUCUUCUCUUGCAGGUAAACCUCUAUGUCCCUGUGUCCCCUCCAUAUGAUUGGUCAUUUCUUCCCAGAAUCUCCACUUUAAGGAGGAGCCCCUAGGCUACCCAUGUUCAUUCAUUCCUUUCUAGGCCUUACUUACAACUCUCCAGAAUUCUUUCUCCCCCAUGCCUCUGCCUGCAUGGGUCCCCCACUCCCACCCCCAGUUUUCCAGCUACUUUGUUUUUUAACGUGUUGUCUUCUCCAAUUAGAGUAUAAGCUCUUCAAGGUGAGUGACUGCCUUUCUUUUAUUUGUAUCCUCACCACUCAGUACAGUACUGGGCACACAGUAAUUGCUUACUAAAUAUUUAUUGAUUUAUUGGCUUGAAUUAUCUUGGCUCUCAGAUAUUUAUUAAUGAUACACAAAACAAGGAAUUUUCCCCUCCACUCAACAGUUUCUUAUUCAUCCUUACUGAUUUUUUUUCUGCCAAUGUUUUUUUUUUCAAUUUUAUGAACUCCAAAUUAUCUAUUUUAUCUUUGAUAAUAACCUCUGUCUCUUUUGGUUAAGAACUCUACCCUUAGCUAUAUUUGUGAAAAGCAUUAUAAUCAUGAUGAAGAUAAUAAUAAUAUA